GUUGCUUCCUGCACAGGAAGCAGAGGCAGGAGGAUCAGGUCAGAGUCGCUCCUUGGAUGUAAAGGGAGUUCUAGGUCAGUCUGAGCUGCAUGAGACCCCCUUGCAAAGCCAGGACUCCCUUGGGGAGCUUCCCCAAGGUGUGAGUGAAGCUGAAAGCAGCCAAGGAGGUGCAUUAGCAGUGCACCUCCAAAUUGUUGUUUCUUUUCCUUUUUUCUAGGAAGGAUCUCGUGCGAGUUGAAGCCACAGUCAUUGAAAAGACAGAAUCAUGGCCCAAAAUCAACAUGAAAUUUAAGAAAAGGAAAAACUUGAGGAAGAAAAAAAUCAUCGUGAACCCACAGACCGUCCUCCGGAUUAACACCAUUGAGAUUGCACCUCGUUUGCUGUGACCACAGGGCAGACAGCUAAGAAGCAUAAAAUAAACUCAGGUCUGCACUCAGGACGCUGAGGCAGGGGGAUCACAAGUUCCACGCCAGCCUGGGCUACACAGCAAGACCCUGUCUGAUAAUAAACACCAAGUAUUUUGUAGGA